UUUUUUAACAAGGAUGCGCUCAUACUUCACUUAGGUGGGACUUCUGUUUGCAAGUGAUAGAAACUCUACCUCGACCAUUUGGGGCAAAAAGAGGAACUCACUGGCAGAAGAAUUUAAACCACAGGACUCAGUCUCUUGGCCUUUUGUCUCUGCUUCUCUCAGACCAGCAUUCUCCACAAGCUGGAACUCUGGUCACGAGAAGCUGCCUGGCUCCCCACUCCAGGCUUCCCGUGCAGAGGGCUUAUCCCUCGCCUUCAGCUAAAUAAAGCAUUCCCAAGAAGGAUGUUGAUCGGUCAUGAGUAUCAUUUAAGGUGUUUUUGGGGGGAACCUGUGUGGCUCAGUCGGUUAAGCAUCUGACUUUGGCUCAGGUCAUGAUCUCUCAGUUUGUGAGUUCGAGCCCAGCGUCGGGCUCUGUGCUGACAGCUCAGAACCUGGAGCCUGCUUCGGAUUCUGUGUCUCCCCCCUUUCUCUGCCCCUCCCAUGCUCAUGCUCUGUCUCUGUCUCUCAAUAAUAAAUAAAUGUUAAAAAAAAACAUUAAAGUACUUUUGGCUGCAAAUAACAGAAACCCCAAGAGCGAGUGACUUAAUAGGGGUUUAUUCUUUUCAUGGAACAAGAUGUCUAGAGGUACACGGUUGUUCUUGUAGCCCAGUGAUGCCAUAGAUCUGGGUCAGUGUCUUGGCAAUUCUCUUUGUCUUCCCCUCGGGGUUGCAAGGUGGGUACAGCAGCUGUAAACAUCAUGUUCUCAUUUGACAGUGUCUUUUUUUUUUUUUUAAAGUUUAUUUAUUUGGAGAGAGACUGAGACAGUGUGAGUCAGAGAGGGGCAGAGAGAGAGAGACAGCGAAUCCCAAGUGGGCUCCGCGCUGUUAGCACGGAGCCUGAUGUGGGGCUCGAACUCAUGAAACCGAGAGAUCAUGAGCUGAGCCAAAACCAAGAGUCGAACUUAACUGAACUUAACUGACUGAGCCACCCAGGCAGCCCAGCUUCUCUCAAAAGCAAAACCUGAGACAAAGGCUUUUGUGAUGGCAGGGAGAUGAUGGCAGGGAGCAGGGGUAAGGACUGAGGGAGUGAAUCGGGGAAAGAGGGACAGCCAACAGAAGGAUGCAUUACUGACCUGCUGGCACCUCCCGAGGGGCUUAUGAACUACAUCUCAGGACUGUCUGCUGGGGGACAAAGAGGGAAACAUUUUUCUAUCCACAAGCUCCCUCCUCCCCUAACAAAACAAUAUGACAAUAAAUAUAUUUUCCAGUCAGCAUAUGUGUAUGUGGUAUACACAGUCCAUAGCCACAUCAUCAUACAGAUGAACCACACUUACGUAUUCUGUUAAUGGAUAUUUACACUGGUUUUAUAUCAAGUUGUCAUAAACAUUAAAAGGGGCUUCCCCUCCCCCCCCCGCCCCCCGCCCUGCUCUGGUCCCAGAACCAAGGAACUUUUAUAGCAAUAUUUCAUCUUGCCAAAACAUAACUAAUUCACACUAACCUAUUCAGGGCAAAAAUGGAAAAGAGUUAAAAAUAGCUUCUAAGUAGCCAAAUAGGUGUCAAAGAGUCACAAAUUCCAGCUGGAAUGGGCAGUCAUGUGUGCGAUGUCACUCCGGCUUGGGCUGAAAUCUCACCUACUUGUAAGAGACAGCUUUGUUAGCCUGUCCAAUCUCACUUUGCUUACAGUUCUAACUAGCUUGGUAUCCUAGUCACUAUUUCCACAAAUGACAAGGGGAAGGAAGCCACUCAAGGAAGCCACACUGCCAGCUCAAACCAGAAGGGGGACCACAGACGGCAGCAAAAACAACACAGCAGAAACAACAACCCAAAACUUUUUUUAAAAAUGUCCCAAACAUGCAAAAGAAUACUGGUAUUUUACCGACUCUGUGGAACAGGAGAAGAACGGAGGUUCACAGCCAGAAAGAAUUGUCGCAAUCACGUUCGGAGUGCUCUUUCCAAGGCGUGGAGAUGAAGGAUUUGUUUUUUGCUGUUGUAUCUUUUCACGCAGUAUUGAUUCAGUACCAUUGUUCUUGUUGCGCAAUAUUUUGGAGAGAUUUCCCAAUAUGUAGGUUUCAAAUGAUGAAGACGUUGAUUCUAAAAUCUCUGGGGAACAUCACUGUCCAAACAACUGGUUUCCAUGGAGUUUUAGCCGAGAAGUUUCAUCCAGCAAAUUGGUUGGGUAACCACAGAGAAUGAUUUCUCUGCCUCUCUGCACGAGGGGGUGAUGCUGACCAGACUUCGCCUGUAAACCAGGGCGGUGGUGCUCCAUUUCGUGAGUACGCGGGGACAGUCACCGGCCAUCCUUUCACAGUGAUGGGUUAAGGCAGAAACUGCCACCUGGAUCAAGAUCUAGAACGUUUCCAGCGCCCCAUGCUCCUUCUCAGUCUAUUAUCAUCCACCCGCCAGUAAGAGAGCUUGGCAGGAAAGCCACCGAGGUCAUUCUGCUGAAGGGGGGAGGCUAAGAUGUGCUGAGGUGAAGUCUCCGACCCCGAGUCCUGGCGGACCUUAGUGGCAAAACUGAAGGGUGAUUUAACAAGAAGCUUUAAGAACUACAAUAUAUAUUAAUGGCAAAUGGGCUCCCAGUAUUGAGAUCUGUUUAAGUUGUUUUUGAUUCUUUAAGCUCACAUAAUGAAGGUACUGACCUAACAAAUAAAUAACUGUUCUUGGAAGAAAACCCCACAUCAGAGUAAAUAUUAACAAAGGAUCUGGUUAUGGCACACAUUGAACUUCAGGAGUUCCUUCAUGAUAUCUAGUUACCUGGGAGGUUGAAUUUUAUUCGGAAUGCUGAUUGGUGAGCACAGAGUAAAAUUUGCCUUGGGAAGAUAUUUUACGUAAACUCUGAAAAGCCAGAUGAAAUAUCUCUACUUCAAACUGAAUACAUCGCUGUGACACCACAGAAUGGAAUCCCCAAAUUCAGUACCUUUUCCAUCAAAAGUAUGAGUUCCUUUGGAGUAGAGAAAGUGAUGAGGAACGAAUCUGAUGAGCUAUAUGUGAUGGGCGGAAUGGCCUCCAAAGGUGUCCAAGCCCUGCUCCCUGGAAUGUGUUUCCUUGCAUGAUAAAAGGGGCUUUGCAUCUGCAAUUAUGGUUAUGGAUGUGGAUAAUCCAGGUGGGCCCUUCGAAGCAGAGAACGGUCUCUGGUUGGAGUCAAAGAUAUACAGUGAAAUAGGAGGCAGGAGAGGGAAUCCAAGAGAGAGGCUCCAAGUGUGAGAAGGGCAUCAAAGUGCUGUUACCCGCCCUGAGCAUAGGGAGACACCUGCUGGGGCGAAGAGAGGUCUCUAGGAGUUGACGGCAGCUCCUGGCUGACAGCAGGCGAGCAAACAGGGACUUCAAUCCUACAACCGCAAGGAAUGAAAUUCUGACAACUGAAAAAGCUUGGAAGUAGAUUCUUCCCCAGAGCCUCCAGAAAAGAAGGCAGCUCUUGAUUCUGCCUUGUGAGACCUGGAGCAGAGAAAACCCUUGAGCCCUGCUGUGCCCACACUUCUGACCCACGAGAAGUUACAAAAUAAUAAAUGAAUGUUAUUUUAAGCCUGGAGAUGUGUGGCAAUUUGUUACUGUAGCAAGAGAAAACCAAAACACUGUGUUAGUAUGUUCAAGUUCAGUCUAAGAAAAUAAUCUGAGAAAAACAACACAGUUGUGUGU